GAAGCAAGCCAGUAAGGAACAUCCCUCCAUGGCCUCUGCAUCAGCUCCUGCUUCCUCACCUGCUUGAGUUCCAGUCCUGACUUCCUUGGUGAUGAACAGCAGUAUGGAAGUAUAUGCAGCACAAAUGGAGAAUCCAAGUGCAACCUUGUCUUCGUCAGUAACUGUCAAGAGACGGCUCAUGGGUCAAAGCAUUGACUGCACAUGCAGGGAUACUAUCCAUUCUUCAGUCCCAGCGGGUAUCCAGCAAGCAUUCGUUCCCUGAAUGAACCUGAGAGGCAAGUUCAUGCAUCGACCUUCAAGGAUCACACGCUAUUCUGUUACACGCUGCUUUCUGAAUCAAGGAAACUCAAACUAAGACAAGUGUACACCCAAAGGAUGCUUCAUCCUACCACAAAAACACCUGCUCAACAAUAUUCAUUGCUGUUCUACUCAUAAAAGCCAGAAAUUUUGAACAAUCUAGAUGUCCCUCAACAGAAGAAUGGAUAAAGAAAAUGUGGAAAUGCAGGGACAAAGAGUAGAGCAGAGACUGAAGAAAAGGUCAUCCAGAGACUGCCCUACCUGUGGAUCCAUCCCAUAUGCAGCCACCAAACCCAGACACUAUUGCAGAUGCCAAGAAGUCCUUGCUGACAGGAGCCUGGUAUAGCUAUCCCCUGAAAGGCUCUGCCAGAGCCUGACAAAUACAGAGGUGGAUGCCUGCAGCCUACCAUUAAACUGAGCAUGGGGACCCAAUGGAAGAGUUAGGGGAAGGACUGAAGGAGCUGAAGAGGCUUGCAACCCCAUAGGAAGAACAACAGUAUCAACUAACCAGAACCCCCAGAGCUCCCAGGGACUAAGCCACCAACCAAGGAGUGCACAUGGAGGGACCCUUGGCUCCAGUGUAUAUGUAGCAGAGGAUGGCCUGACCUGCCAUCAAUAGGAGGGGAGGCCCUUGGUCCUAUGGAGGCUUGAUGCCCCAGCAGAGGGGGAUGCUAGGGCGGUGAGGCAGGAGUCAGGUGGUGGGUAGGGGAGCACCCUUAUAGAGGCAGGGGAAGGGGGAGGGGAUGAGGGUUAGAGAAGGGGAAACUGGGAAGAAGGGACAACAUUUGAAAUGAAAUAAAUAAAAUAACCAAUUAAAAAAUGU